AUGACAGAGAAAUUUGAAAGUCUCAUGAACAUUCAUGGUUUUGAUCUGGGUUCUAGGUAUAUGGACUUAAAACCAUUGGUUGUGAAGGCAAUGGCUUAGUUUCUUCUGCUGUAGACAAUGCCUGUGACAGAAGAGUAGCCAUCAAGAAAACUGCCCUUACUGAUCCCUAGAGUAUCAAACAUGCUCUACGUGAAAUCAAAAUUAUUAGAAGACUUGACCAUAGUAACACUGUGAAAGUGUUUGAAAUUCUUGGUCCCAGUAGAAGCCAAUAAACAGAUGAUAUGGGCUCUCUUAUGGAACUGAACAGUGUUUACAUUGCUCAGGAGUACAUGGAGACUUGGCUAAUGUGCUGGAGCAGGGCCCUGUACUGGAAGAGCAUGCCAGGCUGUUCUUGUAUCAGCUGCUACAGGGGCUCAAGUAUAUUCACUCUGCAAAUGUACUGCACAGAGAUCUCAAACCAGCUAAUCUUUUCAUCAAUACUGAAGACUUGGUGCUGAAGAUAGGUGACUUUGGUCUUGCACGGAUCAUGGAUCCUCAUUAUUCCCAAAAGGGUCAUCUUUCUGAAGGAUUGGUUACUAAUUGGUACAGAUCUCCACGUCUUUUACUUUCUCCUAACAAUUACACUAAAGCCAUUGAUAUGUGGGCUGCAGGCUGCAUUCUUUGCUGAAAUGCUGACUGGUAAAACCUUUUUGCAGGUGCACACGAACUUGAACAGAUGCAGCUGAUUUUAAAAUCUAUUCCUGUUGUACAUGAGGAAGAUCAUCAGGAGCUUCUCAACAUAAUUCCAGUUUACAUUAGAAAUGACAUGACUGAGUCACACAAACCUUUAACUCAGCUGCUUCCAGGAAUCAGUCGAGAAGCACUGGAUUUCCUGGAACAAAUUUUGAUAUUUAGCCCCAUGGAUCGGUUAACAGCAGAAGAAGCGCUCUCCCAUCCUUACAUGAGCAUAUAUUCUUUUCCAAUGGAUGAGCCCACUUCAAGCCAUCCUUUUCAUAUUGAAGAUGAAGUUAAUGAUAUUUUGCUUCUGGAUGAAACUCACAGUCACAUUUAUAACUGGGAAAGGUACCAUGAUUGUCAGUUUUCAGAGCAUGAUUGGCCUAUACAUAACAACUUUGAUAUUGAUGAAGUUCAGCUUGAUCCAAGAGCUCUUCCCGAUGUCACUGAUGAAGAAGAAGUACAAGUUGAUCCCUGAAAAUAUUUGGAGGGAGAUCGGGAAAAGUAUCUGGAGGAUCCUGCUUUUGAUACCAAUUACUCUACUGAGGCUUGUUGGCAAUACUCAUAUCAUCAUGAAAACAAAUAUUGUUAUCUGGAGUGUAGCCAUACUUGUAACUACAAAACGAGCUCAUCAUCAUAUUUAGAUAACUUAGUUUGGAGAGAGAGUGAAGUUAACCAUUACUAUGAACCCAAGCUUAUUAUAGAUCUUUCCAGUUGGAAAGCACAAAGCAAAGAAAAAUCUGAUAAGAAAGGCAAAUCAAAAUGUGAAAGGAAUGCAUUGGUUAAAGCCCAGAUAGCACUAGAGGAAGCAUCACAGCAAAUGGCUGGAAAAGAAAGGGAAAAGAAUCAGGGAUUUGAAUUUGAUUCCUUUAUUGCAGGAACUAUUCAACUUAGUUCCCAAGAUGAGCCUGCUGAUGUUAUUGAUAAAUUAAAUGACUUGAAGAGCUCAGUGUCCCAACUAGAAUUGAAAAGUUUGAUAUCAAAGUCAGUAAGCUGAGAAAAACAGGAAAAAGGAAUGGCAAAUCUGGCUCAAUUAGAAGCCUUGUACCACUCUUCUUGGGACAGCCAGUUUGUGAGUGGUGGGGAGGACUGUUAUCUCAUCAAUCAGUUGUGUGAGGUAAGGAAGGAUGAACAACUUGAGAAGGAAAACACACUAGUUACUUGGACAAGUUCUCUAGCAGGAAAGAAGAUACUGAAAUGCUAGAAACUGAGCCAGUAGAAGAUGGGAGGCUUGGGGAGAAAGGACAUGAGGAAGGAUUUCUGAACAACAGUGGGGAGUUCCUCUUUCACAAGCAGCUCGAGUCCAUAGACAUCCCACAGUUUCACAGUCCAGUUGGGUCACCACUUAAGUCAAUACAGUCCACAUACCUUCUGCUAUGAAAUCUUCCCCUCAAAUUCCUCAUAAAACAUACAGCAGCAUUCUGAUACAUCUGAACUAAAACACUCAGCAGACAUUUAUCUUUGUAUUCUUCAGGAAAUGUGUUUUGUCUUCUUUUAUUACUAGUGUUUAAGUCAUUUUUUACUUGAAUCAGAUGGUGUCAUUUAGUAAGGAUUUUAUGAGUUAUUGGUUUUUAAAAUCCAAACUUUCUUUUUCUACAUGUGAGACAGUUUUCAUUUUAACUGGCAUGUCAUUUGCACACAAAAAUAAAGACUAGAGCAAAAUAACGUAACGCAGGAGGAGAAAAGAAAAGCACUAAGUAAAGAACAUUCUCUCAUAGAACAAUGAUCUGUUUUACAGGAAACAAACCUUGCCUUGAAAUUUAUACAGUGAGACUGUACAUAAUUGCAUGAAAGUAGCUAUUUUUUCUAAGACAUUUUUCAUUCAUGAUAUUUUCAAGUUGUUCAUACUGUACACAUUUCUUAAAACACAUGAUACCGGCAACAAGUGAAAAUGAAUGCCGAAUUAGGUACACAUGUGUUAUCUACCUCAAGGUAACAAGAGUAUGUGGCAAAACAUAUACCACUCUUAGUGCUUCACAAAAUGCACUUCUAUUUAGCCAGUGUUUAUUGUAGUAAACUAUUCUUAAUAAAACUCAUUCAUUGUUUA